GGGGAAAAUAUCCAGGACUCAUAUGGUUCAUAGAUCUAUUAUAUUUUUUAACAUUGUAUGUCUAUGUGCUCUGGCAUACGUGUCACAGAACAACUCUGUGAUGUGUGUCCGCUUCUUUACACCUCCGCACAGGUUGCCCAGCAAGAACCUAUUCCACUGACUAUUUACUUUUACUUUUUAAAUCAGGAUAUGUGUUAGACAUCUAUUUCCAAACAAAAGUAUACUUAGAUUUUUAAAAAAACAACCUUCACACUGAUUUAAGAUAAACAAGAGGCCCUGGUCCCAAGAAUCGUGCAGUUCCAAAGCAUACUAUUACAGAAGCCAGAGAUAAGCUGCGUGGCUGAGGGGCUUGUGCCCACGGCAAGGUGAGCUACGGGCUUAAAGACAACAUGACUUCAACUGUUUGGGCAGAUGGGAAUGUAACUUGUCAGUUUCCCACAUGGCUGGUAUAAGAAAUGAGAACUCUUGAAGUUUGUCGGGAAGACGGAAGGGUUGGAGGGAUUUCAGCAUCCUCCUGUGUAUCCAAGGCAGCCAACAUCCCUUGUGGUUCUCCCGAAUCCUGGCAGGAGAAUGAAGGACACGGCCAGAUGAAGAAAUCAGGGCUCCUUAUUUUCCUAUAAACACUUUAUACCCAUGUCUCUUUCCAGCAACAGAGCUAAUUGGAAACAGAGUAAUUACACUCUCCAGCCCGAAGUCCCCAUCAAUUCCAGCUACAUAAGGUUCUGGCCCAAGUCAAGCUGUUGUUGAUGACAAAUAACAGCUCUUCAGAAUCUGGGCUUGAAGUGAGCUGUAAACCAACACCCCUAAAGGUGCGCGCGCGCACACACACACACACACACACACACACACACACACACACACACACCCCUCUUGUGACUGCAAGAGCUAGGGGAAAAGAAUAAAUUCGCAUUGCUCUCCAGCGGGAAGAUUCUUCUGAACUGAGAGAAGACUGUGGGCUUCCCUCCUGCUUCUGAACUUGUCCCCAGAGAACCUUCUGAAUGGAUCUACAGCUCUUCGGGUUUCUGUCUGAUGGUUGUCGUUUUAAAAUGCACGUGAUGCUUUCAGACUCCCAAGUCAUGAUACAGUGAAACAACUCAAUUCCAUUUGAGAGCAAAAGAAUAAAACUCCCUCAAAAGAUGAGGAGGGAUGGCAGGUAGUAUGAGAAUGAAGGAAGACGACAGCCGGAGACGAUUAAAGACAGAGCUGCAGCUUAAAGAACCCAGCAGCACUCUGGGAGACAAUUCCCACACACCUAACUUCUUCAAUUCCAGAAGUGCCAACUGAGACCCGGGGGCCCAUUCUGACCUUGAUUGUCACUGGGGGUGGGGUGGGAGGGUAGGUUCUGGAGUUGCUAUGGCAACCUUUCUUCCUAGCCUUUGCCUCUAAUUUUCUGCAAUUCAACUUUUGUGAGUUGCUUAUCUCUCCUCUUUAUCAAGCUAGGAGCCCCUAUUCAAUUAUUUUUUUUAAACCUGAGUUAAUGUCCCAGCUGUAUUGUUGGGGAUUCUAUACACAUCAGUGGAAUAAAAUCACUUCCUGCCAUAAACCACUGGCUCAUGGCACUGGGCUUUAUUAAACAGCUACAACCCACAGCUCGUUUUAACUAGCAAAGGAGGCCCCUGUCAUCACAGCAGCAGUAGGGAUGCCUUCACAGACUUAUCUUACCACACUGGAUCUCAGGCUCCAGUCUCUACAUUUGUGGACAGUAAGCACCUAUGCCCCACUAGUCUAGGAAUGUUCCAGAACGUAACAUCUAGAACCCAGCACUACUGCACUCUGCUUCUCUCUAAGCUUGCUUUCAGACUUCUGACUUUGGUAGCUGCCAAAGCUCAGGUUUCAGCUUCCUGCCGGGGUGGAAAUAGUUCCAGAGCAGUCUCACUGAUGAUCUGAUCUACACAGACCGCUUGAUUGGAGUGGCUGUCUCCCACUCUCAGGCAGAAAAAGGAACAGACUAAAGGAAUGCAGCUCUUGGACCAUCAGAAGGAGAAACAGCUCAUCAUGUUUUACACACCUGGAGCCAUGAUGACUAAGAAGGACUAGAAUAUCCCACCAUCUCCAGCCACUUUGCAGUCAAGAUUGCAUCUGUUCUGCUGCCCGUACAGCUGCAAUGAGUCAGGACCAUGAUCAUCAAGUAACCAUGAAGAAAUCUAAGUCUAAAACCACGGGUGGCUGAAGCAGGGGCAAAAGAAAGUCUUUCUGAUCCAUGUAGGUGUGAAGAAAUAAACAGAGCCACAGGA